UACAAAAAAAUUAUAAUUUAAAAAAAAAAAAGUCCCAGCUCCCAAAAUUAAGCGUUCACUACCAAAUUAAACAGUUCUUCUGUCCACAUAUUGUCCCCCAUCGAUGAAGAUUGAAAGCUCUCCCUCCAUCCCCAAAUGAACCCUAACCCUAAGUUCUUCUCUAUUGCAAAAUCCACCAACAACACGAUACUCUCCGGAAUCAUACCUCUACGAGCGGGUCUUUUGCGAAUAUUGGCGAGAGGUCUUUUGUGACUGCGUUUUUUCUUAUCUAACUCAUUUCUUCUUGUCAUUUAGCAUCAGAUCUGCUUAGUGGAAUGGCCAAAGGGGAAUUCAAAGCAGCGGUUCCUGCAUCCAUUUUGAAGAGGCAAAAAGGAACGGGGAAUGUCCAUUGAUGAAGAAAUUGGAACUUGAAUCAUUGAAGAGGAAGAAGAAGAAGAGAUCUGAAACAAGGGAACUCAUUUGGAGUUGAGCCAAAAGAGUAGCUAAAGAAUACGAUGUGGGGAGUUGAUUAGGUUGAAAUGUGAAGCUAAACUUAAAGGUGGAUUUUAUGUUGACCCUGAAGCUAUAUUCUUGAUAUGGAGUCUUCAUGUUGUCCACAAUCCAAGUUGCCAUUUCCAACUUUAUCUGCUACCUCUAAGGGAGAACCAAAGGUUUCACUAGUUAAUGACGGAAUGAUGAAUAUACAAGAAAUAGCGGAUGAGAGAAAGCUUGUCUGCUACCCAACAGGUAUCUUAGCAAGUAAUGAUCCUUAGAGUUGCUGAUGGAACAUUUAGUUUACAUGGAAAAUACAUGGGGGAUUAUGUGAGUAAGUCAAGAUGGGGAUUAUGUGAAGUUUGUUGAAACUUCACUAGUUAUUUUAUAUGCAUUACAACUUACAAGUGAUUUGAAAUUACCAACCAACUCUCUCUCUGUCUGU